rnacentral:SRP_RNA from 1 species
GCUGGGUGUGGUGGCGGGCGCCUGUAAUCCCAGCAACUUGGGAGGCUGAGGCAGGAGAAUCACCUGAACCCAGGAGGCAGAGGUUGCAGUGAGCCAAGAUCAAACCAUUGUACUCUAGCCUGGGCAACAGAGUAAGACUCCANNNNNNNNNNUGGAGUCUUACUCUGUUGCCCAGGCUAGAGUACAAUGGUUUGAUCUUGGCUCACUGCAACCUCUGCCUCCUGGGUUCAGGUGAUUCUCCUGCCUCAG